UACGUAGGGUGCGAGCGUUAAUCGGAAUUACUGGGCGUAAAGCGUGCGCAGGCAGCGCGUUAAGACAGGUGUGAAAGCCCCGAGCUUAACUUGGGAAUUGCGCUUGUGACUGGCGUGCUUGAGGACUGGAGAGGAGACUGGAAUUUACGGUGUAGCAGUGAAAUGCGUAGAUAUCGUGAGGAAGACCAGUUGCGAAGGCGGAUCUCUGGGCAGUUCCUGACACUGAGGCACGAAGGCCAGGGGAGCAAACGGG
rnacentral:rRNA from 1 species